UCCCAUGUGGCUCAGCUGGUAAAGAAUCUGCCUGCAAUGCAGGAGACCUGGGUUCGAUCCUUGGGUUGGGAA
rnacentral:tRNA from 1 species